rnacentral:lncRNA from 1 species
AUGUUAAUUACAGCAUAUCCAAGAAUUGAACUUAACUGCGUCCCUGAAUAUGUUUGGAAGAAAUUCAACAGAGUCACUUGCUAUUUGAAAGCCUCUGUGGUCAGAGGUGUUGCUGCAAAUCCAGCCACGCCCACCCCAUCCAGCCACGCCCACCUCCCACCCAGCCACACCCACCCCCAUCUAGCCACGCCCACCUCCUCUAGAAGAGCCGGAGCAGCAGCUGGAGAGGAAUGGGAGGCACCUCAAGCAAGGUCAGGGAAACUGUAUGAGAGGUCCCUGGCCUUGAUCGGUGGCUGGCAACCCCUUGGUGCCUCCAGCACCUUCCUGGCUAAGGAAAGAAAGCCCUUGGCUACUUGGGGCUACUUUUGUCACCCUCUUUUUAAUACAGUCUUACAUAUGGUUUCUCUGUGCCCCAGUUUUAUCAUCUGCAAAAUGGGGAUCAUCGGAAUGAUAAUGUGAGUUAGGGUCUGUAAAGGGGUUGGAAUGGUGCCUGGCACACAGUAGGUGCUCAGUAAACAACAUCAGUGCUUCAGUGUCACUGCUGCAUUGUCACUGAGGAUAAGGGGUAGGAUGGAAAAGCAGGACGGGGCGGGGGGGGGGGCACCUGGAACCAGCCCCAGGGGCAGGUGGGACCCUCCACAGCAGUCUUUGCCUGGUGCCAUCUGGAUGGACCCUCAGGGGAGAAACUGAGGCCCCACCCAUGCCCCACCUCAUCUCGGUGUCCCUACCCCAUCCCCUCCAAGACCCAGAGAGGCCCCCUGGGAAAGUGGCACCGUGGGGACCAUGCUGCCCAGCACAAGUGGGGACCAUGCUGCCCAGCACAAUUACCGUUUUCAUCCUCAUUAAACCACAUUUUCAUUCUAAUUAGAGUUUCACUGCCUCCCAGAGAGAAGGGCCGAUUACUUUUCAGCAUCAUUACCAGCCUCUCCCUCCCUCCCUCCCUUCCCACCCUGCCCAGGUGCCUGUUCCACACCGGCCAGCCUCUCUCUCUCUUCUCCCACCCUCCCUCCCUCUUGCCAUCUUUUCACAGACUAGAGAGAAGCAUGGGACGUGUAUUAGUCUCCUACUGGGUGUGGAGCUUGGUGUUAGGGACCUUCACCUACAGCGUUGCCACCUUACUUUUGCCCUGCUCUAAUUGAUUCUUUUUCUUCAACACAUCCCCCCUUCCAAACAUGCCCUGUGAUUUAUUUGUUCCGUUUAUCAUCUCUCUCUGCUUUCCCAGAAUGCCAGCACCCACCCGUAUCCCCGCAGCACUCCUGGGCAUGCUGACUCCCUUCUUCCAACAGCCAGCCCCUGGCAGCUGGACCAGUCCCGGGGCCAGCAGAAAGUUCUGGAGAGCAAACACACUGCAGCCCUUGCCCACUGACUGAUGGGGAGUGCUGGAUAAAUACUCUGGCUCCCCGCCGCCUGGUGGGAAAGCUCUGAGGGGUGCCCUCAACCUGUUGUCUCAGCACCCCCACCAGGUCCGAGCCCCAUUUGCUAGCAGUGGAGACUCACUGGUGAACACACCCUCACUGACGGCCCUCCCUUCCCUUCCCCGCUUCCUCUCUCCCCUGCCCGUGCUUUCUGGGGUCACCUCCCACUGGAAUCCACUGCACCCAGGAUCCUUCCCUCCUCCCCUCCUUGAGGUUCAGGGAAGUCCAAGAAAGUUUCUUCCCUACACAGCACGCAAAGGAUGGGUUACAAACACUUCGGAAGCUCUCCUGAGAACAGAAGUGCCGUUUCAACCAGACUGCAGCCUCCAUGGGCAGCUCGGACCCACGUUUGAAACAAACUCUUGGGGUGCUCUCUUUCAGAGUGGGGGUGAACUUCCUGGCACUUUUGGGGGGGUGCUUGGCAGUAUGCAUUAAAAUGGGCAGCGUUCCAACCCUCCACCAUCAGCUCCCCUUCUGGGAAUAAGAGCUCUCGAGCACGGAGGUGGGAGCCAGAGUGGUUUUGGCAGGCUUGUUUGCGACCAAGCAGAGCGAGAAACAGCCCAUGUGUCCACCGACAAAGGAUGAGGAAUUCAGCUACGGUGCUGUGGGACGCCACGUGACUUCAGAAAAAAACAAGAUAGAUGCCUAUCUUAGGUUUUUAGGGCUGACAAAACAAAGUACCAUAAACUGGGUGGCUGAAAACAAGAGGAAUUGAUUCUCCCACACUUCUGGCCCCAGAAGUCCGAAGUCAGGUGUGGGCAGGGCUGGCUCCUCCUGGAGACUCAGGGGGAGAAUUCCUACCGGCCUCUGGUGGCUCCAGUGGCCUCCCACAGCCGGUGGCGUUCUUUGGUUUGUGACUACAUCUCUCUGAUCUCUGCCUCUGUCUUCACGUGGCCUUCUCUGGGUUCCUGUCCGUCCCCCACCCCUUUUAAAGAUUUUAUUUAUUUAUUUGACACAGAGAGAGACAGCCAGUGAGAGAGGGAACACAAGCAGGGGGAGUGGGAGAGGAAGAAGCAGGCUCCCAGUGGAGCAGGGAGCCCGAUGUGGGGCUCGAUCCCAAGACCCUGGGACUAUGCCCUGAGCCGAAAGCAGAUGUUUAAAGACUGAGCCACCCAGGUGCCCCCCC